GAAUCAGAAGAGCGAGUGAAGUCUCUCCUCGAGCUCAGAGUAAAGCAAACCAACAUCAAAAGCCAUUUUUCACUUCUGAAAUAACAUACAAUGUUCUGCAAGUAGCCUAGCUAGGCCUGCUGUAGGUUUGGUGUAUACAUGUAGUAUAAUAUAAUGCAAUUA